GAUGAACGCUGGCGGCGUGCUUAAUUCAUGCAAGUCGAGCGGUAAGGCCCUUCGGGGUACACGAGCGGCGGACGGGUGAGUAACGCGUAAGAAUCUACCCCGAACUGAGGGAUAACUGCUCGAAAGAGUAGCUAAUACCGCAUGUGCUCUACGGAGUAAAGCUACGGCGGUUUGGGAAGAGCUCGCGUACGAUUAGCUAGUUGGUAAGGUAAUGGCUUACCAAGGCGACGAUCGUUAGCUGGUCUGAGAGGAUGAUCAGCCACACUGGGACUGAGACACGGCCCAGACUCCUACGGGAGGCAGCAGUAGGGAAUUUUCCACAAUGGGGGCAACCCUGAUGGAGCAACGCCGCGUGCAGGAUGAAGGCCUUCGGGUUGUAAACUGCUUUUGUCUGUGACGAAUAUGACGGUAGCAGACGAAUAAGGAUCGGCUAACUACGUGCCAGCCGCCGCGGUAA
rnacentral:rRNA from 1 species